rnacentral:rRNA from 1 species
UACGUAGGGGGCAAGCGUUGUCCGGAUUUAUUGGGCGUAAAGAGCGCGUAGGCGGUCCGAUAAGUCGGCUGUGAAAGUCAAGGGCUCAACCCUUGAAAGCCGGCCGAUACUGUCGGGCUAGAGUCCGGAAGAGGCGAGUGGAAUUCCCGGUGUAGCGGUGAAAUGCGCAGAUAUCGGGAGGAACACCAAUGGCGAAGGCAGCUUGCUGGCAUGUAUCUGACGCUAAGGCACGAAAGCGUGGGGAGCGAACAGG